UACAUUAUCGCAACUGCCAGAGCUCUUACUGCUGCAGUUUUCUAGUCGCAGUGCGGCAAAGCAGACGCAUAGAACCAGGCACAAAGCAGCAUAGAUUUUUUUUCAUUCUUAUCUUUUUCAUACGAGGGGAAUAUUCCUGGUGUUAGCGUAGGAACAGACACAGCAUGGAUGUGUUGGCUUCUGCCUGGCAGCAUUUUCAGCUGAGCAGGGACUGCUCGGAGCUCUGUACCCAAAUUGCCUCUGAGGAAGAACGCCUGAUUUCCCACUUUGCGUACUAAGAGGGCUUUUUUCUUUAUGCUACAGUGAUGUACCUGCAGCAAUAGGACAAAGGAGAUGGCACUUGUCACUGUCUGUCCGACUGGGGCCUUUUGCGGGUACUCCACUGCCGAAGCUGUGCCAGCAUCCCAGGGUCAGAUAGAUUGGUAAUACAGAUUGCUGCAAUUUCUUACAUCAGUUAGGGCAAAGCUCAAACAAGAAACCAGACUCUCUGACCUAAAUCAGUCCCAGUCCUUCUGGAUACAGGGCAGCAGUCGACUAGCAAUGACACAACCAGCCAUCAAGUGGAGAGUCUCUGGGAUUGCAAUCUGUAUCAGCUGGAGUCUGAGAGAAUGAAACCCUUUCGGGUAUCCAGUCGCUUCUUCUUCUAAUACUACAAAUACUACAACUACUACUACUGCUACUUCUGUUUUUCUUGCCUGUAAGAAGCUGUUAAUUGCGAUUGGUCUCAGCCUGUACAUUUGCGUGGAUUAGUCUGUCUAUAACGCAGUCCUUAUCCGCUCCUGCUGGAAACCGGGGCACGAAGUCAGCCUGCUUUAACAGUUGUUUCUUCCUGCGUGAUGCUAUGCAACUAGAAUGGGUUACACUGACAACAAAGGAACAAGCACAAAGCACCACUUUCUUUGCUGGACUGUUACAGGAACAUAGCUCUUCUUCGAUAUGACACCCUGGUCUCUUCUCUUUGCUGGCUUUUUUUGUAUUUUUUUAAAUUUAAUUCAUCUAAUCGAAGAGCCUAACAGACACCAUCGUGAAUGUGGCUUUUAAUCAUUUGGAAAAGACAGCAUGUGGAGACUGCGAUUCGAGACAGCAACACAUUUAGGUUAUUGCCAAUUUUAAAUACUUGGUUUGUGAAGCACAGCCCUAAGGGACAAGCUCAGUAACUGAGGGAGAGAUUGUAGAUAAAGAAAUAAAAAUGACAAGCGUAAUGGAGGCUCUGCAAAAGAGACUGUCAGAGAAUCAGUUCAUGGAUGGCAAUUUCACCAGUCUGAAUCUGAAUAAUUCAUAGAUUGAAAUUACCCUGCUUUCACCUUUCCAUUUAAACCGGCAUGAUCUGAAUCUCUAAUAAAUUUUCAAGAUAAAGUAAAAUGCCAAUUUGAAUCUGAAGAGCUUUUAAAACCAGAUGCUACACCCUGAAUCUUUCGAUACCUUUCACAAUUAUCCUGUGAGAACCGCACUUCAUCACGAAGCACCAUUACCAGUGAAAAUUACUGUGAUUACAAUAGCAACAAUAGAAUACCAUCAAAUGAUCUCUAAUCUACCUAAUUUACCAAGGCUGACUGUGUGCCCAUUGUGUUUCACUACGUCUGGCAUUGGAUCAAUAUCACAGUGGAACAAAAAUGCAUUAGUGUGUGCUUCCUUUUGGUACCUUUAACUUUGACAGCACAGGAAAAAAAAAUCUACCUGCUGUUAAAUGUUUUUACAGCCAAUCUACAUGCCUGCUGUAGGAUCUGAUUGAUUCUCUAUGAUUUUCUUUAGUUCCUGGGUAUCAGAUGUCUUUGUGUUACUAAUUAGUUUAUAAUGUAUACUCAUGCACAGAGACUGCAGCAAGUGAGUGCCAGCACAGGGACCCUGCACUGCUGCUGCAGUUGCAGCGCUCUCACUGGGGAAGCCAAAACGAGUUCGGUGCCUUAUGUGAAUAUUUACUUCUGUCUGAGUCAGAAAUGCUUUGUAGCAUCACCGGUUUUGGUCGUACUAUGUGAAAAAUGUAUGCAAAAGCCAUGGUCAGGAAAAAUGAUAGCGUGUUAUACUAACAAGAUUUUCUCCCUGUUCAGCAAUUAGCAUGUGGUUGUGAGAGACAGGCUGUGACUCCUUCUGUGUCUGUGUGUGUGUGUGUGUGUGUGUAGGUACGCAUGCACAUACAUAAAUGUAAAGCUACUGUGCCCUGUGAAUGACUAUGUGCUGAUGAUCUCUGAAAGUAACAACUUUCUCUGACAAGCCAGGCGCUGCGUUUUGCCGCAAUCUGCUCAGUUGUAACAAAUCCCUCUUUUGGAGGUGUAAAUUUCCUAUAGGAUGAUGCGUGACUUCUGGAACAGUAAGUACCGUUUAUGCAAUAUGUUGGUGCCUAUAGCUCUGCUGCAGAACAGUAUUUUAAGUGUAGUUUGAAUCCUUGUAGCAUAACCAGAAUGUGAAGAAGUGAGAAACAUGUACAGAAGGCUAGAAACAGGCAUUCUUCAUGGAGGCGACUGUAUCUGCUGUUUGUAUGUGUGUGAGUUGUACACUUCGGGCUUGUUUUUCAUUUUAUAAUCAGAUUUACUCUGCCUUCAGGGAAUAUUUUUUAAGGGAGGAAGGUAAGCAGUAUUUCUUCUUAUUUCUGUAACUGUGUUGUAUUUCUCUUGUGGGAAAUGCAUGUUUACAGCACGUAGUUAUAUAAUACAGCAUGAUCUCAUGACAUCUAGUUAAGUGUUUCAAUAUUUGUUCAUAUUAAAAUUGGGCAAGAAAGCAUGUUUAAAAUAUGGAUUUUUAUUGAAAAUACACUUCUAGAAAUUCUAUGAAAAAACAACUUACAGAUUUUGUUUGCAUUCAUUUUUGCUCUUUACUGCUGUUAAAUAAGUGCCUAUUCUAUCUUAAUACUAAUGGUCUUGAAACCUUCAGUUUUUAUAAGUUCUGUCUUUUCAAAAUGUAAUUUACUGUACUUCUAAAUUUUCUGUAUAUUAAUGGAGACUGUUCUCUAGAGGCAGAAGAAUCAAAAGGUUUUAUAUCUUGAUCUGUGAUAACAAAGGAACUUGAAAGGGCACAAAAUAUGAUUAUACAAAAUUCUUAGAUUUUAAAUGAUUCAGUAACGUGAUUUAGCAAAAUGCUGUUCUUAGACGACACACUCUCAAGUUACUACACUAUCUGGAAAUAAUCAGUCCACGCAGUGUUAUACUUCUAUUCUUAGUUUUCAUGUAGUAUUCAAAACUUAACAGAGAAAAAGCUGAGAGCAAAUACCAAAACUUUGGUAAAAGUUUACAUAUAUACAUUAUGUUAUUGUAGUAAUAAAAUCAAGACAUUUAUACUGAACUUUGCUGAAGAGAACUAGUUGUUGUGGUUUAACUAUUUUAUGAAGAACAUUUUAAGGUUUUAUGUACAAAAUAUAACAUAGGCUGAUAUAACACCUAUACUGAAAGGACCAUGAAAACAGAAAUAUGAAUGUUUUGCAAAAUACCGUACAAGUACCUGGCAAUAUUUACAGUAUCAUUAUUGUUAUUGCCACACUCCUCCAGUACCACAUACUGCAUUGAAAUCAUGGUCUGUUAACCAAUUGGAUUCCACAGAGUCUUUACAACCCUAAAUUUUUUAUCAGUCUUUUCUGUUGUGACAGCCUGUAGAAGGCAGCUGGCCAUGAGGUGUGAGCUGUCCUCACUAACAAGUGCAGGGCACAGCUAAGGGAGAAUUCACAAGCUGUUGGUGGCUUCACAUAAGGGCCCAAUCCAAACCCUUCUAUGGAACUGCUCUGGAGUCCUCUAACUUUAUGUUUCUGCUAUUAAACUUUAAACAUGCCUCUGGCUUUCUCCCACUGCUCCAUGUGGCCUUUCCACAACAUGCAGUGCUGGUCAGGCCUAAUGCUGUUUGCCAGUGUGAGCCCCUGCAGGAGUUGCCAGACUCUGUUAGGACAGCACACUCAGGAGGCGAGAGUAUUCAUGAUGCCCUGAAAAAAGUACUCUAGAAAAGUUUGGAAACCUUGGGAAAUGAACUCUGCCUUUUGGGGUGAUGUGUGUUUCAAAGGUGGCAGGAUUGCAGUCUGUCAGCAGGAUACACUGUGUGUGCGAAUGGGAAAAAAAAGCCUUUAAACCUCUUCAGACACAGGAUUGUGAAGAGAAUAUUAGCAAUAUUACCUCAUAGGAAGUAUUAAAAUGUAGUCAAGUCGUAUCAUCCAUGUAUUUUCUGAUGUGGCUAUGGCCAAUCAGGUAGCUACAGCUGCAGUGUUUAGAAUUUAUAAUUUUAUGUGUCAAAAAAAAUGGCAGACUGCAACAUGAAACUUCUAACGUACGGCCACUAAUUUCAGCAAUAGGGAUUCAACAGUUAACAUACAUCACAUCAAAAGAUGUAUUAGUCUGGUUUUUAUGCCUUUUUAUGUUCUUCACUGUUUUACACUUGUCUAUAAAUCAAUCUGUAAUGGCAAAGGGAGGACAAAACCCUUCUUUACAUGAGUUCCCAACAAGCACAGAUAUCCACUUCAGUGAAAUUACUCCCAUGCAUUUGGUGGACCCUUAUCUGCAGCCAGGCAGCAACCGUGAUGAAACCAUACACAUGAAAAAACAUAUUGGAGCCCAUUCUAUUACCACAGAAUUUAAUAUAUUUAAUAUAGCCAUCAAUAUAGAAGAUAGAUCCAUUAACUUGCUUCCAUUACAUACUUUUUGUGAAAGUUGCUGCUAUUUUGUUGUGUUUUUUUCUCCUUGAUUACAAGAGUCGUGUAUAGUUGACACAACACUGAACAGAAGAUUCUUUCUGUUCACCAGGACACAAGACCUGAGUAAACAUACACUGGAAUCUCAGGAUAGGUUUAUUUGACAACUGAAGGGACUGUCUCAUCUGUAUUUGAUAAUAUUUGUGCUUACUUGCUUGUCAAUUCUUCAUUAUCAUCUGCUAUAAAACACACAAGUUCUGAUCUGAAAUGGUUGUAUCUAUUUGGACAAGAGCCCUGAGGAUAGGAGGGUCUGUUGUGGGUUUCAUUGCUUUUUUUUUUCACUGUACUGCUGCUUUGAAUUAAUUGCAACUGCCUAUGGAAAUGUGAUCCCUUAAGAACGUAGAGAAAUACAUUAUUAAUGAUUAUGUAUGAAGAAUUGCUAGAUUCCCCUGUACUCUGGCUGCUAUGAAUUUCACACCAUGAUUCCCGAAGAAAAAUUAAAAACAAAGUAAGACCAAUGUAACUUGAAAUGAAAACAGCAGCAUUUCCAAACCAAAUUUUUGACACAGGAAAUUCAGAGUUAAACAGAAGAAAAUCCAAGUGGUUCACGGACACAAUUAAAAUACCUGAGCAGCUCCUUUCCUCUUUGAUGCCAUAACUCCAGGAUGUGAUAGAGGUAAAUAAUUUUGCCAAGUCAGUUUAUACUACAUAGAUAGGAUCAAAAGCCACCUUUGGCUUUAAAAGUAUUUGCACUGCAUUUCACAGUAUCGGUUCAGUUUCUUUAUGGGCUAUAAAUGUACACCUGCUCUGUGCUUUUAGCUGCGUAACAUAACCAGAAGUUCUGAAAAUCAAAUUAUUUCAGACCAACCAAAAGAGGGAAAUGAAAUCCUAAAUGGGAAGUGCAGAAGAGGCAAUGGGCUUCCCAGGUCUCAUGCCAGCAGAGCCUAUUGCUGUGGGUUUUCCAGGUCAGGUUAAACUUCUUAUGGUGUUAGGACUUGUUCUUAAAAAAAUCCCCAUAGUUAAAAAUGAGCGGGAAUUCAAAAUAUGGCCAAAGUUUUGCCCAAAACCAUAAGUGGUUUUUUUUUUUUUUUCCCUUCUAACUACAUUUGACAUUAUUUCUGCCACAGGCCUUGCCUCAAAGUUUACCAAGAAACUCUGUCCAAAAGAAUAUUUGCAAUGUUAUACUUCAUUUGUAGAAGGUCAUGCAUAGUGAAGCACACACAAUGAAUUAGCAGUUGUGGUAAAUGCUAAAGUGGGAAACAUUGUUUAAAUGGAAAAAAAAUAUGAAUUGAUGAAUUAUGGUGUUGCCACUGUGCUGUUCACUUAUACUCAAUAUUCACAGAGAUAGUGAAGAAAUGAAUGUACAUCUAAAUUAUACGCAAUUACACUCAGGGAAAUGCUCAGUAGAAAGCCUUAUGUUGUACUCAUCUGUUUGUUUCUUCUGCCUAUGUUCAUUCAAAACCCACCUCCAAUGGCACAGCAAUCACAACAACUGGCUGCCCCUCCACCCUGCAGGUAAGAAGUUUCACUGAGAUAGCCAAAGGAUGAGAUCCCACUUCUUGUGGUCCUAAAGGUAAUGUCCUGGUUGGUGGGGUGGGGGGACAGGCAGGUGUGCAGACGGGCAUUGACAUGACACGCUUCUGUGACUGCCAUACAAAGCAAAAGAGGGAAAAUGCCAUUAUUAAGUAAUUGGAGUAGGAAUUACUACAUUUAAUUUCUACAUUUUCAGAGGCAGCUCUUUUGCAAACUUGUCAAAUUUGUACCUAGCACGAGUAUCAUGUGGUGAAAACUGUCAAUGAGCACUGAGACUGUGGAAAAAGGGUGCAUAACCUGAGGGAGUCUACCAAUGUUUACUCAUACACAUAUGCACAGUGCUAGCAUUACUGUUCAGAUGCAGCUUUAAGUCCUUUUAAUAUGCGUGCAAAUGCCUAUGCCAUUGCACCCAUAAUGUCUGUAAAGUGACCACAUAUUUCAGAUUUGGCUUAAGCAGCUACAUCCCAUUUAAACUGGCCUUUUUGAUAAUGGUAUUUUUGCUUUUUCUUUGAGUGACCUAGCAUGCCUCUUGUUAUGCAUACAAGUAAGCAUGAAUUGUUGCAACUCCUUUUGUCAAAAGGUAUGGUUUUCCUCAAAGCUUGUCUGUACUCAAACUUUUCACAAGGGCCAGCCUGUCUUUGCAAUCUGAUGGGUUUGAUAUGGUUAUGAAUUGUGUGCAGUCUGUGUUUUUUGUGUUCUGUGUUUGUUUCAUUAUAUAUAGAAGUUGGAGUGCACCCUUUCCUUUGCCACACAGCUUGAUGCUAGGUAAUUAAAAAAAUUUAAGGGCAUGUGCUUCACCUUGUGAAUGCCUCAGUGUGUCUGUGUGUCUCUGUGUGUGUGUGAGACUUGCUGAGCUCUCAGAGCAGAAUCUGGAGCCCAUUGGGAGUAUGUGCAGGAUGGAUUUCAUUGCCGAAAAAAAGCGAAAAACAAAAUAAGAAAGUAAUUUUAUAGUGCUUCUGAUUGCUUGCCUCAAUUUAGACAAUACUUGUAAAAUUGUCUAUGACUGUUUGUCAAAGUCUAUGAGUCUUUAUUUUUGUAAAUAGGUACCUCUAAACACAAUUUUUUCACCUUACAGGGCUCUCCAUGAAAAUAAUUUCUUUAACAAAGGAAAGUAAGUUUGCUCACUCUGAAUCGUGCCAAACCGCAUAAUUUGGAAAAGAAUAUUGUGGCUCUACUUGGAAAGUACUAAUUGGGCUGUAGCCAUCACUGGGAAAGCUGUAUAGUCUUUUAUUAUUUUAACUGGCCAAAUGCCCUUUGUUACCACAUUAACAGUCUCCCUAUGGUGCAUGUAACUUUGAUGUUAUUUCCACUUUUAAGCUAAAUUUGACCAGAUGAAAGACACAAACCCUCCAAUUUUGAAAUAAAAAAAUAGCAUGUUUUGUUAAUCCUGUACUUCAGAAGGAAAGUCUGUGAAAAUGAUAACCUUUGUCUGCUGGCCAAAGUUUUUGUUCAGUAAACCCAUCCUGCCAGCUGUUCUCAUUGGCAAGAGGAAAGAUAAUAUUUUGGUAUCUCUAAUAUCUCCAUUUUGAGUCGAAGUUCUGCUUGUGCCAUCACUUAAAUCAUGCAUGUUAACAUCGGUCUGGCAAACAAUGCUGCACUUUUUAAACAGACCUCAGUUUGGAUGGUAUCACCGCAAUGUUGCAAUAAAGCUGCUUCAGAUUACCACAUAGAGCUGAAAUCA